rnacentral:rRNA from 1 species
CACGUAGGCGGUUGUGUAAGUCGGAUGUGAAAGCCCUGAGCUUAACUUGGGAAUUGCAUUCGAAACUGCGCGACUAGAGUAUGGGAGAGGGAAGUGGAAUUUCCGGUGUAGCGGUGAAAUGCGUAGAUAUCGGAAGGAACACCAGUGGCGAAGGCGACUUCCUGGACCAAUACUGACGCUGAGGUGCGAAAGCGUGGGGAGCAAACA